rnacentral:rRNA from 1 species
UACGUAGGGUCCGAGCGUUGUCCGGAAUUAUUGGGCGUAAAGCGCUCGCAGGCGGUUCGUUGCGUCGGGCGUGAAAGACCCCGGCUCAACUGGGGAGGGUCGUGCGAUACGGGCGAACUGGAGGCCAGUAGGGGGAUGCGGAAUUCCGGGUGUAGUGGUGGAAUGCGUAGAGAUCCGGAGGAACACCAGCGGCGAAGGCGGCAUCCUGGACUGGUCCUGACACUCAGGAGCGAAAGCGUGGGGAGCAAUCCGG